rnacentral:rRNA from 1 species
GGAAAGAUUUUUCGGUCUGGGAUGGGCUCGCGGCCUAUCAGCUUGUUGGUGAGGUAAUGGCUCACCAAGGCGUCGACGGGUAGCCGGCCUGAGAGGGUGACCGGCCACACUGGGACUGAGACACGGCCCAGACUCCUACGGGAGGCAGCAGUGGGGAAUAUUGCACAAUGGGCGGAAGCCUGAUGCAGCAACGCCGCGUGAGGGAUGACGGCCUUCGGGUUGUAAACCUCUUUUAGCAGGGAAGAAGCGAGAGUGACGGUACCUGCAGAAAAAGCGCCGGCUAACUACGUGCCAGCAGCCGCGGUAAUACGUAGGGCGCAAGCGUUAUCCGGAAUUAUUGGGCGUAAAGAGCUCGUAGGCGGUUUGUCGCGUCUGCUGUGAAAUCCCGAGGCUCAACCUCGGGCCUGCAGUGGGUACGGGCAGACUAGAGUGCGGUAGGGGAGAUUGGAAUUCCUGGUGUAGCGGUGGAAUGCGCAGAUAUCAGGAGGAACACCGAUGGCGAAGGCAGAUCUCUGGGCCGUAACUGACGCUGAGGAGCGAAAGGGUGGGGAGCAAACAGGCUUAGAUACCCUGGUAGUCCACCCCGUAAACGUUGGGAACUAGUUGUGGGG